AUUGAACGCUGGCGGCAGGCCUAACACAUGCAAGUCGGACGGUAGCACAGAGGAGCUUGCUCCUCGGGUGACGAGUGGCGGACGGGUGAGUAAUGUCUGGGGAUCUGCCCGAUAGAGGGGGAUAACCACUGGAAACGGUGGCUAAUACCGCAUAACGUCGCAAGACCAAAGAGGGGGACCUUCGGGCCUCUCACUAUCGGAUGAACCCAGAUGGGAUUAGCUAGUAGGCGGGGUAAUGGCCCACCUAGGCUACGAUCCCUAGCUGGUCUGAGAGGAUGACCAGCCACACUGGAACGGAGACACGGUCCAGACUCCUACGGGAGGAAGCAGUGGGGAAUAUUGCACAAUGGGCGCAAGCCUGAUGCAGCCAUGCCGCGUGUAUGAAGAAGGCCUUCGGGUCGUAAAGUACUUUCAGCGGGGAGGAAGGCGGUGCGGUUAAUAACCGCGCCGAUUGACGUUACCCGCAGAAGAAGCACCGGCUAACUCCGUGCCAGCAGCCGCCGUAA
rnacentral:rRNA from 1 species